GAUAAAUUGCUUGCGCCCUCCUCCGCACGUUCACCCCAUCCUCCCUAGGAAGCUAGAACCACUCACCCCAUGAUACUCGCACGGGAGGCGGGUCACCCUCUCCGACGUUGUGCGACCACACCAACACUCGGGUCACGGUGGGGGUUGCAGAAUCUUUGUCGGGCCGCGUGGCUCGUGCCAGGGUCCUCGCCGGGCCGAGCUUGUAGUUGCUGCGCCCCAAAUUUACUCACCGGAAGCGGGGUUCGUCGUGGAGUCGCCCGGUGACGCGGACUGGUGCCCCGGCCUUGCCCUAACCCUGGUAUGACCAACUCAUGCCUUCUCCCUCGAAUUCAUACCGAGUAGCACCGAUCCAUGUAGGAAGACCGUCUCUGGUAGGACGUGAAUUGCUCGUCGUCGUUGCACGUGGUACUGGACCUCCG
rnacentral:lncRNA from 7 species